GGCUGAGACAUGCUGGGGUGGGAAAUCUGAGUGAAAAAUCCCAGAAAGAGGCAGAAUGGUGGAGAGCAGAUAUGAUACUGCAAUAAAGAUUUCACAAAGGCGAUGCCCUUAUUACCAUGGCUGCUGGGCUUAAGACUAAAGGAGAAGGAGAUAAAAAAGGUUUCUUCAGCUAAAGAACCACUGGAUCCAUUUACAAUGGAAAGGAAGAUUCUGUGAGAAAGAUGAUAGAAGCUGGACUCCAGAAUCCUUAAAAUGUCAGCAACAUAGACUAAUUGUCUUUCUGGUUCGUCCAUCUUCAUAUGGGUGCACAUGCAUAGUAGAGUGAAAAGCCGAACUUUAACAAAAAAGCCAGCUUUGACCAUUGACCGUGGGCCAUCGAAGAAAGAAGCAGAAGAAGGUUUGUUAGACAUUCAUUUUCACUUUUUUUCAUGUUGCGGAGGAAUGUAUAAUUACUGUUGCUCCAGCUCCUAACUCUACAGUGACUUUACAGACCCCUAACUGGUACGAGGGACUGCCAGAAACUGUAUCUGUCUCAUGGUGAUGCCUUCUAAGCAAUUUGGGAAGUUAGCAUUUGCAAAAGACAGAAUGGCCAUUAUAUGUGAAACUGGACGUGCAUUUAUUAACAUAAAGGAACAGAAGUCUGCUGGGCCAGAUAUUGUUUUGAAAGAUUAUGAUACCCUUCCCAGCUCCAUUAAUCUUUUCUAUCCUUUCUGGCUUAACAUCUCUAACUGUAAGCCUAAGGUCUGGUCCAAGAAGCUUCAGAUACAGUUUUCUGUUAUGUUUAUCCAAAUUGAAUCAGACCUGACAACAAUAUUAAUUGCAGCUUGUUCUGCUAUUGC